rnacentral:rRNA from 1 species
UACGUAGGGGGCAAGCGUUGUCCGGAUUUAUUGGGCGUAAAGAGCGUGUAGGCGGCCAUACAGGUCAGCUGUGAAAACUCGAGGCUCAACCUCGAGACGUCGGUUGAAACCGUAUGGCUAGAGUCCGGAAGAGGAGAGUGGAAUUCCCGGUGUAGCGGUGAAAUGCGCAGAUAUCGGGAAGAACACCCGUGGCGAAGACGGCUCUCUGGGACGGUACUGGACGCUGAGACGGCGAAAGCGUGGGGAGCGAACAGG